rfam:Lepisosteus oculatus unplaced genomic scaffold TNK237, whole genome shotgun sequence.
GGGGAUGUAGAUCAGUGGUAGAGCGCAUGCUUCGCAUGUGUGAGGUUCUGGGUUCGAUCCCUGGCAUCUCCA